GUCGCAGUAGCGCAAUGGAUAGCGCGUUGGACUUCUACUACAAAGGCAGUGGGUUCGAAUCCCACCUGGAAUG
rnacentral:tRNA from 1 species